GGAGUCCGAAGCGGACAGAAGGGAGCUUGCUCCCGGAUGUUAGCGGCGGACGGGUGAGUAACACGUGGGUAACCUGCCUGUAAGACUGGGAUAACUCCGGGAAACCGGAGCUAAUACCGGAUAGUUCCUUGAACCGCAUGGUUCAAGGAUGAAAGACGGUUUCGGCUGUCACUUACAGAUGGACCCGCGGCGCAUUAGCUAGUUGGUGAGGUAACGGCUCACCAAGGCGACGAUGCGUAGCCGACCUGAGAGGGUGAUCGGCCACACUGGGACUGAGACACGGCCCAGACUCCUACGGGAGGCAGCAGUAGGGAAUCUUCCGCAAUGGACGAAAGUCUGACGGAGCAACGCCGCGUGAGUGAUGAAGGUUUUCGGAUCGUAAAGCUCUGUUGUUAGGGAAGAACAAGUGCAAGAGUAACUGCUUGCACCUUGACGGUACCUAACCAGAAAGCCACGGCUAACUACGUGCCAGCAGCCGCGGUAAUACGUAGGUGGCAAGCGUUGUCCGGAAUUAUUGGGCGUAAAGGGCUCGCAGGCGGUUUCUUAAGUCUGAUGUGAAAGCCCCCGGCUCAACCGGGGAGGGUCAUUGGAAACUGGGAAACUUGAGUGCAGAAGAGGAGAGUGGAAUUCCACGUGUAGCGGUGAAAUGCGUAGAGAUGUGGAGGAACACCAGUGGCGAAGGCGACUCUCUGGUCUGUAACUGACGCUGAGGAGCGAAAGCGUGGGGAGCGAACAGGAUUAGAUACCCUGGUAGUCCACGCCGUAAACGAUGAGUGCUAAGUGUUAGGGGGUUUCCGCCCCUUAGUGCUGCAGCUAACGCAUUAAGCACUCCGCCUGGGGAGUACGGUCGCAAGACUGAAACUCAAGGAAUUGACGGGGGCCCGCACAAGCGGUGGAGCAUGUGGUUUAAUUCGAAGCAACGCGAGAACCUUACCAGGUCUUGACAUCCUCUGACAACCCUAGAGAUAGGGCUUUCCCUUCGGGGACAGA
rnacentral:rRNA from 1 species